CACAGACGUGAGUUCUUCACACAUACUUAGAGCGUGGAAAAACUCAGCUAUUUCACCAAACACACAGGAGAACUCAGGCUUCCCUUGAAAAAUCCCCUCUCAGAGCUUGAAGCAAUUAUGAGGACCUGGGAACAGGUGAAAAAAAAAAAAGGAGACCCAGCCCUAGGAAAGUGCAGGUCUGCCCUGUAGCGGGGAGAGGGAGGCAGGACUGGGCAGGACUGGACAGGGCUGGGCAGGACUGGGUGGGAAUGUGACUCUGGGAAGUUCAGCUCUUCAUUCUGUACCACCUGCCCACAGCUCUGUGCUACGGCCACCCUCAUCCCUCCUCCCGGGGCUGGAGCUGGGGUCAAAGGCAAAAAGGACUUCAUGAAAGUCCGUGGUGUUCAGUGUCCAAUUAAUUAGUGUUGAGGGUGGAUUUAACUUUCAAGAUUUAUUUAUUUAUUUAUUUAUUUAUUUUGGCCACAGCCUAAGUUCUUUCUGUUGAACACUCCUGGGAGCCUGUGUUUAUUUCUCAUCUUGGCCAAGCUUUCAGGAGCUUUCAUUAUUCCCACUUCCCACACAGAAACCCCACAGCUCCUCCACGAGCUGCUCUGCCUAGAGACUCCCACCCCGCCCCCUGAAUCAGUCUGGUCUAAGCACGUGCUUUCAGCCAUGAGUUAACAGCUCCGGAGCGCUGGCCUCUGGCUGCUCAGUCCCCGGCAUCAGACUGCGCCUUGCUAGAGUGAACGUACUCAGUUACAGGGGAUCAUGAAUUACUGAUUUAUUUUGUUCUCCAAACUGCAAAAGCUCCCCGAGGCUGUGGUGAAAUUCUCUAUUGUAGCUGUCAGUAGUUGAACUAUUAAAAAAUUGUACACACACACAGAGACUUACUUAUACAAGUGUAUACGUACCUUUAAUAUACCACAGUAUGUAAAUAACUAAAUGGCAGUUUUGAAAUGUCAACAGACUGCUGCAAAAAUCAGUCUGCUCUUUCCUUGUCAAUGAGCUGGAGAAUCCCUAGAAUUCUCUUCAUUCCUGUGAUACUUAGUGUCCGCAAGGCCUUUAAAUAUAUUCAUUUUUAUUUAAAAGUGUAAUAAUACCAAUAAGGAAAUAUAAGAAUUACUUUCAUACAAAGUAUGAACUAGGCCUCACUGGGCCCAGGGAAAGCAAGCACCUUUAGCACCGGCUAACGGAAUCCAUGGUUUCAGCAAGGGCUCGGGAGAAGCUCUCGCCAUCACUUAGUCAAGGAGCUCUGGGCAUUCACCGCGUGUCCCGCCCUGUGCUGGGCACCAUGGAGUUUAAGGGAAGUGUAACAGCUGCCUGCAAGGGCCCCACCUCUGACUGAAGAGGUGUCCGCUGGCGGGGAUGCACACAGGUCGCAAAACACGGCCACUUCUUGUUCUCAGCAUCGCCAUUGUCCAUGUUCAUAGUCCAUUUUGAAUUAAUUAACUAAACUAGCCAAGAAAGACAGACUAGGGCCAUACCGAACGAAGUUACUGGUCUUGUGAUCUUGCCUCCCACCACCUUUCCUGCACUGUCCAUCUCGCCCCUUCCUUUAGCUCAUGCCCGUCAGCACAGAAGCACGCCCUGGGCUUGGUCCCGGCUUUCUGCUUACUCUUCUAACUCAUCUCAUCACAAGUCACUAAAUACCACCUGUAUGAUCACAAGUCUAGACUCUCUAUCUCCCUCUCAGCCUGUUCCUAGGAGCUCCAGACUCACAGUCAGCUGGCACCUCUGACGCUGCCUCAGGAGUGUCUUGCAGGCACCUCGAACUUAAGUCCUAAACUUAACUUCUAAUUUCCACCAAGUCUCACCCCCACCCCACUUCCCCAUCACAAGAAAUGACAUAUGUCCAUCCACCUAGUUACCCUGUCACACUGGAGUCAUUUUAAAUUCUUUACUCCUCACAUAAAACCAUAAGCAAAUCCUUUUAUGUCUGUUUCCAAAGCACAUCUUAAACCCGUCUGCCUCUCUCCACCGCGCUAGUUGACGUUACCACCCAUUUCUUCCGCGUCCACUCUUGCUCUCCUUCAAUCUAUGCUCCACAUAGUAGCCAGAGUCAUCUUAAAAAGUAUAAAUCAUAUACAUCAAUUCCUUCCUUAAAACCCUUUAAUGGCUUCCCAGUAUAAUUUGUAUAAAAUCCAGGGUCUUUAACAGGGUCUGCUGGCCCCAGGCAUUCUCCGGUUUCACCUCACGUGCUUCUCCCGUCACUUGCUAGGAUCCAGCGAAACUGUUCACUUCCAGGGUCUCCAGUGUGCCCCGCUCCUCCUGCCGCGGGACCCUCACACACUCCGGUUUCCUGCACUGCAUGCUCUCCACUCUGGCCCUCCUGGUGGCUGACUCCUUCACACCUUUCAGCUCUCAGCAUCUUUGUUACCUCCCCAGAAAGGCCUUUUCUCAUCACCCCGUCAAAGCACCCACCCAUCCCCAACAGACACACACACAUACCCCAUCAUUAUGUAGCAAAAUGUCUUGUUUAUGUCAUUAUUUAUAGCAAUUAUUUAUCCUCUCACCCACUCCACGAAGUCAGGAACCAGUUUCCUGGCUCACUGCUUGUUCAUCUAGCGUUGUACCUGCAUCCUGAGAGGGCUCAGUAAGUAUCUGUAAAUGAAUGAGAGAAAGGAAGGAUCUGUGUGAGCUUGGGUGGCCAGGAAAGAUUCUGUGGUGGUUGCGGUACACGAGGCGGUCCUUCUAAUUAAGCUGGGGGUCGGGACACCGUGGGAAUGACACACAUGAGGGAAUGAGCACGGGAAUGAGCAAGUGAAGACAGACAGGCCAGCUGACAUUGAAGGGAACAGCUUAACCAAAAUAGAUCGUUUGAGUCACAGAAUGUGAAACUUGAAAAGAGAGAAAAAGAAGAAUGGCCCCCAAAACCAAGGAAAGAAAUUUCAUUUUGAAAUGGGAAGCCACUGUUUGGUCUUGAUCAGGGGAAUUGCAUGAUAAAUAUUUUAUAAAAUGAGUCUGGCAGGGUCGUGCAGAGUAAAUGGAAGGAAGCAGCCCCAAAGCGGGAAGAGCUGAGUAGCGGCUUGCACACGCCGUCCAGGGUGGAGGAGGUGAGGCUGCUGGCAGGCGCGAUGGAGAGUGAGGGGUGGAGCCAAGAGAGCUGUGAUGGAAGAGACCCUAAGACGUCAUUUAGGUACUUGGGGGGAGGAGCGGGAGGGGUCAAAAGUGAUGUUGAGAUUCUGAGACUGAGAAACUGGAAGCAAGCCAGAAUCAUGGUGCUGGAAAGGACCAACCGACGGGUCAACCGUGUUCCUGACAGGACACUUGAGUUACUUCUACCUUUUGGCUGUUGUGACUAUUGCUGCUAUAAACAUGGGUAUACAAUGCCUACAAAGCUAAGAGCUAUGGAUACAGCAGUGAACUGCUCAGGAGAGGUCCCACCCUGCCCUCACCAAACUCGUAGUCUAUUGACUGAAGAAGUCAGACACUGAACAGUGAUUACAAGCACAACUCUGGCAUGAAAGAAGGAAAGGCAGCUGCUGACAUGUGAGACUGAGAAACAGCAACUGACCAAACGGAUUUUAUCUCAUUUCUUGGGACUCUCUGACUUACUGGUCUUCCAACCCUCUCCCACCAAAAAAGAAAUAGGUCACCCAACUGCCCAUUCUUAACGGCCGUCAUUGCUUUCCUCCCUAAGUGCGCGCAGACUUGUACUUGUUUCAGAGUCCACUCUGGCUCUGCUGGAGGCCAACGGGCUCGUGGUCUGCAGAUUCUGGAGUCUAACGUUUCAUGGGUUUUAAACAACAAGGACCACAUUUGCCUUUGUAUGUUGGCUCUCUGAGCCUAAAAAUUUGACAGCAUCUUAAUUUCUCAGAGAUAAUUCUCUGAAGUGACACCGGUAACUUCCUUAUGUACCUUGGGGUAUUACUCGCUGGAUAUGAAGAGCUGAAGUCAUUAAAAGCAACCAGGUGUUAUGUGCUCA